rnacentral:rRNA from 1 species
UACGAAGGGUGCAAGCGUUACUCGGAAUUACUGGGCGUAAAGCGUGCGUAGGUGGUUUGUUAAGUCUGAUGUGAAAGCCCUGGGCUCAACCUGGGAAUUGCAUUGGAUACUGGCAGGCUAGAGUGCGGUAGAGGAUGGCGGAAUUCCCGGUGUAGCAGUGAAAUGCGUAGAGAUCGGGAGGAACAUCUGUGGCGAAGGCAGCUCGCUGGCCUGUAACUGACGCUGAGACGCGAAAGCGUGGGGAGCAAACAGG